GUCUCUUCAGAGACAUCUGAUAAAAUUGGAACGAUACAGAGAAGAUUAGCAUGGCCCCUGCGCAAGGAUGACAUACACAAAUCGAGAAAUGGUUCAAAUUGUU
rnacentral:snRNA from 1 species